GGCCAGGUAGCUCAGUCGGUAGAGCAGAGGACUGAAAAUCCUUGUGUCGGCGGUUCAAUUCCGUCCCUGGCCACCA
rnacentral:tRNA from 1 species